GUUCUACAUGAACAGCAGUUGAACAUGGGUCAGUCGGUCCUAAGAGAUGGGCGAGUGCCGUUCAGAAGGGACGGGCGAUGGCCUCCAUUGCACUUGGCCAAUCAAAAGGGAGUCAGGUUCAGAUCCCUGAACCGGGAGUGGCAGAGACGGGUGCCGAGCCCUUCGCGACUGAA
rfam:Xenopus tropicalis strain Nigerian scaffold_36_contig_63, whole genome shotgun sequence.